GGUUUUCAAAGCAUGGAAGCCUAGAGAAGCGAAGCUGGCUGAACGGGCCUUCAGGAACUUUGUUUCCCAGGCGCCUUCGCGUCACGUUCGACCCCCUAUCCGCUACCGCUGUUUGGUUCGAAAGUGAAACGGGAAUCCAGCUUCGGGUCGUGGAUCGUCAUUAAUCAUCUUUUUUUUUUUUGGCAGGAAACGUUGAGCCUCGUAGUAGCCUGGUCUUUAAUUUGAAGAGGAGACACCAAACGAAACAUAACUCCAAGGAAAACUUUAACCUCUAUGGGAAGAUCAAUCUGGGCCUAACCUUAUUCUCUGCUAAGACUUUGACUCAGCUUCGAUGGAUACUUUUCCUUUUACGAUAGGAGAAGCGAUCUGUUUGGGGUCAAGCUUGGCUUUCUCUGGCCUCUUUUAUUACUUGCACAGGCAAAAGGCCAAGGUGGUGUCCAAAAUCCAGGGGGCUCCGAAGCUCCAGGUCGGUUCAAGUCUUCCCAGCGUUUUGUCUGCCGCAGGUAGCAACUGCCUCCCCUACGUUGUCAUUGAAGGUAAGAAUUCAGCAAAUAGGUUUGCCAAGAUUUGAACAGCGAAGCCCAUUUGUUGUGCCUCGGCUGCCCCCCACUCCGCAGCCGGGCCCCUCUCAUCUCCUGUUAUCUCAGCCAGAGACGGAUAAUGAAGACGAACGGCCUGGCAUGCCUCCAGCCCCCAGUCCUGGCACCAUGCCCGGACAGACCGAGCAAGACGAAUGGCCUGGCAUGCC